rnacentral:rRNA from 1 species
AUUGAACGCUGGCGGAAUGCUUUACACAUGCAAGUCGAACGGCAGCACGGGGCAACCUGGUGGCGAGUGGCGAACGGGUGAGUAAUAUAUCGGAACGUGCCCAAUCGUGGGGGAUAACGUAGCGAAAGUUACGCUAAUACCGCAUACGAUCUACGGAUGAAAGCGGGGGAUCGCAAGACCUCGCGCGAAUGGAGCGGCCGAUAUCAGAUUAGGUAGUUGGUGGGGUAAAGGCUCACCAAGCCAACGAUCUGUAGCUGGUCUGAGAGGACGACCAGCCACACUGGAACUGAGACACAGUCCAGACUCCUACGGGAGGCAGCAGUGGGGAAUUUUGGACAAUGGGCGCAAGCCUGAUCCAGCCAUUCCGCGUGCAGGAUGAAGGCCUUCGGGUUGUAAACUGCUUUUGUACGGAACGAAACGGUCUGCCCUAAUACGGCAGGCUAAUGACGGUACCGUAAGAAUAAGCACCGGCUAACUACGUG